rnacentral:lncRNA from 1 species
UUUUUUUUUUGUCUGUUUUUUUAUACGACGAGGCUCAUAGCAGUAUGAUGGUAUGUGACAGAAAACUAUUUGAUGCAGUAUGAAUAUCGACGGUGUGAUUCUAUGUUCUGUUCAAAAGUGGGUUAGCCUAGUUGAUAAACUGUCACCAAGUCAGAAAUUCCGGUUUUAUGAAACGGAUAUGCAGGGCAUGUUUAGAAUACCAUCGAUACAGAUGCGUGAUUAUUUGCUUCACUCUUUACUCCAAGGUUACAAUCCAAGUAGCAAAAAAUUCAUGGUCGAAGAGAGUUCUGAAAGUACUGCUGGAAGUAAAGUCCUUAUUUCACUAAGGCCUGAUGAUGUGUACUCCAUAUUUGGUUGGAAAAACAAUGGUUUGGGUUUCUUAGUACUGAAGGAGAAAAAGCAACCAAAAAAAUACCAGUUAGUUUUGUUAGCAAGAAAAAUGGUAAGAUCAUGAUUGAUGAUCUCAUAGAAAAGAUUGUGAAGAAUAAGAGCACUGACGAUGAAUUUAUUCGGAUGACAUUUCUAGUUCUCUUAGGAACUAUAAUUGCACCAGUGCCUCAUGAAUACGUUCCGAAGAAAUACUAUGCCUUAGUGCAAAAUAUUAAGUUGAUAAGGAAGUUCAACUGGAAUGCAUUCACUUCGCGAUUCUGUUUAUCGGAGAUUGGUAAGCUUCUGCAGGACGGCCAUGUUAGGCAGUGGCCCCAGGGGAACCUCGCCCUUUUGCAAGUACGUUGUAUUUAUUAAUUUCAACACUUUUGUUAUAAAAUGUCACGGAAGAACAUGUAAUUUAAUUAGUUUAUGUGUUUUGCAGUACCUAUAUUGGGAGAAGGUGCAACCAAUCACCGGUCCAAAAUAUGAUCCGUUGGCAUUGUUGAGCCCGCUGAUGAGGAACUGGACGGAAGAUAUGGCUGUGAGAAGAGACAAAUACGACUAUGAAUAUGGUCGUGGUGUUGGGAUGGUAAUCCGAGUAAUCAUGUUUUUUUUACAUUUAUGAAAUAAAAUUAAGUGUGCAUAUGGUAUGUAUAAUUCUCUUGUUGCAUUUGUAGAUCGAUGACAACAUUACAGAGGAGUACAGGCUGAAAAAAAUUGCAGAAGAAGAAGCUCAAAAAACCAAGAAAGCUAGUAGCAAAAAAUCUAACAUUACUGGAAUGAGGAAAGAGGGCAGUACCUCGGAGGCUUCGAGCCAGAAGCCUACUAUGGACCGGAUUUUGAGUGAGAUGAAUGAGCUUCCGAAGGAAAUGCUUCGUUUGCCAGAGUUAUGCGCACAGGUAACACUUGAGCACGUCACUUUAAUGUCCAUCACUGAAUUGAAGAACUAAGAUGAAAUGUUUUCUUGCAGAGGAUGAUUGAGAAACUGAACAAAACCGGCGUCUUCUACAAACCCAGUAACCUGGAAGAAGACGAAGAGAAUUUGUACGGAGGCAUUAAUGAGUCUUCAAACGAUGGUGGACUUCCGAAAAAAGAGUUUGUAUAUCAAAAAGAUUAUUCAGACCGGUUCCGCACACCUUCCAAAAUGAAUUUGCAAAAGGAUGAUGACGGCGUUGAUGUCACUUCUCGUGGAAACACACCUUUUUACUGCACACCUGAGUACUGGGAUAGUUUCAAGUGUGAUAUGGAUGAUCCUAUCCAAGUACCAGAAGUAUCAGAUGAAAAAGCUGCCACAUCUUUAGGGACGGACGAGAUCGCAUCGCAUGCAUCGCUUGGUUCUCAAGGAGUACAAGAGGAAGUGGAGGAGGUUACUGGCAGGCGCAAGUGCAGAGGAUCACAACAUGUCAAGUCUCCUUAUGUGGUCCCUAAACCGAACAAGCGAGCAAAACGUUCUGCGAAAGAAAGUAAGUUUUUUGUGUUUCUAAUUGUUCUUGCGUAAUAAUUAUUUAUAUAUUUGCGUUUAUAAAUAUUUGAGUUGUGUGUUCCAGAAUUGUUCCAAAAUGGUGGUGUUAACAAAUGUAGUGAUGAGUAUGAUGUGGUGAAAGCGUCCAUCAAGUACGUGCGCGCAUGAGUAUUCACAAAAACAUGCCAAAACAGAAAUUUUCAAUGAUGGCAUGGAAGAAGGUCUCACUGUGCGGAGAGCUUGUCAGAUUAUUAACCAUGAGUGGCUAAGUGGCGACGUAAGUUAAUUUCAUAUAUUGUUUUACAAUUGAUUCGAAAAUACCAUUGUUAAAUCUGACACAUUAUUUAUAGGUAAUUAAUGCAUACUCAUCAUAUUUGGUCGACAAAGUUAAUGAUGAUCGUUUCAUGUUGACAACUUGGAGGAUACAUUGGUUGCUUCACAUUAGACCCGGAAAGAAGACCGCCAGUAACGAUUAUGAAGCAGAGUCGCAUAGUAAUGGACCCGUGAAUAGAUGUGAGGACGAGUAUUUCAAAAAAUCAAAGGUAAGUUUGAUUGGUUACACGGUACAUACAUACGAUAGUAUGUGCUGAUUGUGUUUUAUGGUCCUUGUGAUGCAGACUUAUAUUCCUCUAAACAAGGAAAACACUCACUGGGUUACUGUUGUCAUGCAUAGCGGGAAGAGAGAGUUCCAGGUUCUUGACUCGUUGAUGACCGGAAAACUUGACAGUGUUACUAGAGAACUCAUUGAGGACCUGGUAGGUUUAACUUUCAAAUGUGCAUUUGGUAACAUUCAUUUUCUUUAGUACACUGAAUGACAUUCUUUCCACCAUGUUAAUUAUAUCUUUAGAGAAAACAACUAGCAGAAGAUAUCCAAGAAGCAAAUGCAACCGGAAUUGUGAAUUAUCCGGAUGUUUCCAAUUGGCCUAUUCAAACGUAUGACAUGCCAAAACAACAUGAUGGGUGAGUUCUUACUUUGACAGAAUGUUGGUCCUGUAUGUACAGUAGAUAUUUAAUCUUCGUAAAUUGUAUGCACUAGGAAUUCGUGUGGAAUAUUUCUCCUUCGAUGCUUUCAAUAUUGGGAUGGUGACAAAUGGACAAGCUUACUUUCACAGGUACGCAAGUAAUGUUUGUACUACGAUGUACAAUGAACGCUGUGCUAACACCACUUUUUUUCAGAGGUCAAUUGAUGAUUCGAGAGAGGUAAUGAUAGCGCAACUUAUCUUUUCGGAAAAAAAACAAGCUUGAUGAAGUGAAAAACAAAGUUAUUCGGAUAUCAAAGAAGAAGAAAUAGAUGUGCCACGGAGGAGUUUUGCAUGUGAUUGGGUGGUACUGGAGGACUAUAUUUUUCAAACGCUUUGCGCACUUGCUUAUAAAUUUUAUGUAAUAGACAUAUUUAUUGAUUUUGCCACUAUUUUGUUCCGAAAAGAUUAUACACUUAAUUACGUUUUUUAUGUCCACAUGAUAUUUUGUUUCAUAAAUAUUAUAUAAUCAGUUUUUUUUUGUUUACAUGAUUUUUUGUUUCCGAAUAGUUAUAUGCGUACUUACCGUUUGUAUGUGUACAUGAUAUUUUGUUGAAGAAAUAUUUAAUACUAACUUUUUUUUUGACACUAAUGUUACAAUUACAUAUAUGUAAUACAAUCUCGUUUAUUUUAUGUACACUAUACUAUGGUAGCGCAUUAUUAAAAAAACGCGGCAAUUUUGUUUAGAAAAACAAAAAAAAUAGUUUACAAAAACAACAAUAAUGUUUACAUUUACAUAUAUGUAAUCGUGUCGUCGUUAAGUUUUUGUACAGUAAACUAUGGCAGCACACUGCGUGUUAUUUUGUUAGCAAAAAGUUGGUUUACAGCACACUGGGUGUUAGUUUAGUUUAGAAAAGCUAAAAAAUAUAUUUUAGGUAAAAAAAUUGCCCGCCCGUCCACAACGUGUCUUAGUAAGCCCGUCGUUAUCAAGCCCACCGGGCGACUACGACAGGCGUUUCAGAACACGCCGUGUAAACUAGGCCCAACAGGGCAGCAUCGACGGGGUAGUAACCAGAGGAGUUCAAUGUGCCGACGGGAGCUGAGUAUAUAAGCUGGUCGUCGUCCCAUUCGGCCGGCGAGGUGGGACUAAACUUGCAUCGGCCGCGGGGCGACGUGGAGACAGCCAGACGCGACGUGGGCCAACCCAAAAAGGCCAUGGACGGCGCGGACUUCUCCACGGCUCGGCGCGCAGUGUGCCGGCCCAGUUAACCCCCGCUGAGACGACGCGCCAGGGAAACUAACGCUAGUUUAGUCCCACCUCGCCGGCCGAAGGCGACGACGACCAGUUUAUAUACCCAGCUCCCGUCGGCACAUUGAACUCCUCUGGUCUACUACCCCGUCGAUGCUGCCGUGUUGGGCCUGCUUUCCACGGCGUGCUCUGAAACGCCUGUUGUAGUCGCCUGGUGGGCUUAGUAAGACACCCUGUGGAGACGGGCGGGCAUUUUUUUCCUUUUUUUUUCUUUUUCAACAAUAAUUCGCAGAGUACUUCUCUUAUUUUAAUAUAUUUGACAGCCGACGGAACUGUAGUAAAUACAUGCAGAAUUCAUAAUAUAAACAAUGAAUAGUGAAUAUUUAUAUCAACAAUAAUGAUGUUUCAACAUAACAAUUGUCUCCACAGUAAUUUUAUUGUAGUGGACAGAAAAUAACAAGUCUAAAAUAACAACGGUCUGUAGGCAAUAAUCUUGUUUCACAUAUAUAAAAUACUCAACACGAACAUAAAUUUAACAAAUGUUUUUCAUAUAAAUGGAAUAGGUAAAACACUUGCAUCGUCUUCACUUGAGUCUUCAAGCCCAGUUGCUGCACAGAAUAAAUAAAAAAAUUGUGAGAAUCAAUGUACGGUAGAUGAAUCAAUGAAACUAACAUAAACAAAGCAAAAAGACAUACAGUUACAUAUAAAUGGAUGCAGUAAAACAGAUGCACCGUCCUCACUUCUGUCUUCAAGCCCAGUUGCUGCAUAGAAUAAACUAUGAGAAUCAAUGUACCGUAAAUGAAACAACAAAACUAACAUAAACAAAGAAUAGACAUACUCUUCAUUUUUGCUGCAUGUGCUCCUGUUAUGACCUGUGCCGCUGCAUAUGCUACAUUUUCGUCCAGAUUUCUCGUCAAAUGCUUUAGGCCUCUCAUUUUUUGUCACAUCUGGGCCACCCUUACCGCGACCUCUACUGUUCUGCUUAGGUGCGCCCUUCGUCGAAACCUUUACUGGAUCACGAACCAGAAUAUGAUCUCGGUUAGGCUCAAAUGGAUUAUUGUUCACGAACCUUCGCUGACUAUCAUCUUCAUUUCCCUAAAUGUCCUUAUUCGCUAUAAUAUCAUCCAGAGCUGUCGUCAACUUGUCGAAUAAGAACGGAUUACUGCAUGCCACAUGACAUGCUUCUGAAGAUUUGAUGGUCAACUCACUAUAUCUAGCUCUGUCCUCACUAUUGGACCAACCCCACGCAAACAGAUCGCUGGUGCGCUUCACGGGCAGUCCAGCUCGUGCUUUUUUUGAGAAUCUUCGCAGGACACAACACUUGGGUAUCACAGGUAAGUUGAGUGCAUUCAAAACAUGAAGAAUAUGCUUGCAAGGAAGCCCUUUGCGAGUCAUACUUCGGCAACUACACUUUAUAGUUUCUGCCGAGUUACCUGGCGUAUAGUCCACAUUAAAUCUGUGAUCCCUGUUAUUCUUCCACGCAACCACAAAUCUCUGACUAUCGGGCCCUGUCAGUCUAUCAAUUACCUCAAGCUCCUGUACCUUCUUCAUAUCUUGUUGCAACAUAUAAAAGUUUGCCUGCGUGAAUGCUUUCGCAGCAUACGACUCAAUGGCCUGACACUCAGUCACUGUUACUGGAAGAGUCUGUGAGGCCGUGUAGUCAUCAUAAGCUUCAUUCUCACGGAGGCGAACAAUACAAUUCUCGUAGUGUACAAUCAUGUCAACGAUCGUCAUACCAUAGUCAAGAUGAAAGUGCAGGCUGGAGUUCAGACUCUCACUCCUCUGAUUACUGCGCAUACCAAGGAAAAACCCACUAGACAAAUAUGAUGCAACCCAAAGCGUCCUCUUCCUGUACAUCCUAUGGAGCCAUGUUUUCGUUCUCUCCGUCUGCCAUUUGCGCACAAACGCGGCCCAUCUCUCCUCAAAAACCUUAUGUGUAGUGGCAUAGUACAAUAAUGCCCUGAACUCCUUCAAUGACUUGUGGUUGAGGUGUUUCUGCAUAUUCUUUUCAAUAUGCCAUGAACAUAGACGAUGCCACACGUCAGAAAGCACCUUCCUGAUAGCCCUUAUCAUCACUGCAUCUCCAUCGGUAAUUACAGAUUUGGGCCUCUUCUGACAGUUAGCUUUCAAGAACAUGUUAAGCAACCAAACAUAUGUAGCCUCAGUCUCGUCUGAAACAAUGGCGCAGGCGAAUACCGUAGUGCAACGGUGGUUGUUCAGACCCACAAAAGGGAUGAACGGCAUUCCAUACCUGUUCAUCUUGUAUGUGAUGUCGAAGACGACAACAUCACCAUAGUUUAGAUAAUCCCGGCGUGACUGCGAAUCACACCAGAACAGGUUUUGGAGCCUGCCUUCGUCAACUGUGUGCUCAAAGAAGAAGUCUGGAUCUCUAUCCUUUCUGGUCAACAUGAUUCCUAUGGCAGUAUUAGCAUCACCUUGUGCAAGCAAUUUCAUCUUCUCCCUAUAGCACAUGUUAUACAGCUUUGUCCUCUGAAACAGUGACUUUGCAUAGGACCCAUACCUGCUAACGACGUUGUCAAAAAUGAUAUGUUUUCUUAUCCCAGCUCCAGCCAUAGCUAAGAUCUCAGCUCUCUCAAAUGCUUUGAUCUGAUUAUGAGAUCGGAGGAAAGGGACUUCGUCCGGUCGUGCAAGAGUGUGGCUGUGAUCAUCGGAGAAACUGCUGACAUACCAAAGAUUAAGCUUUUUAUCAAGCUUAACUGUCAAAUGGGCUUCGCAGAAGAAUCGACUCUCCGGUCUAAGCCUGCGGGUCCGGCCUUCCAUGGUACAGAACUUGGCCUGUCGUUUUCCUGCGGCGGAACAGAGAUACCUCCUCAAGCGAACAGUCCUUGCGCGAUCCUUUGAACGUUUUAGCGAGUCCUUCCUGAUGCUGAACCCACGUUCUCUCGCGUGCUUGUUGUAGAACGUGUACACCUCGUCUAAUGACCUGAAUGUCUUUACCAUCACUGCCCAAUGCCUAUCAAGUGACUCUUGCUGAUAUUCAUCAUAGCACAUGUCAAGGUCAAACUGAUCAUCGUCGCUGUGCUCAUCGUUCCCGCUAGGACCAUCAACACCUCCCUGCAAAAUAUGACAUAUAACCUUGCAUGUCAAUCUGUUCUUGUAUUGUUACUAACCAUAAAUAAUGUAAAGAACUUACUUGGCAACCGCUCCCACUACGAGAUGCAUCGACCGCGCUCUCGGCAUUGUCAUCAUCUAUAUUAUUACGCUCAUUGUCACCAUUAGCAUUUAUCUGUGCACAUGUAAAGUAAAAUAAGUGGUCAUACAAUUUUAAUGUCAAUCAUUGCCCUACAAUUUUUUCAACAUACCUGGCUCACACUAUCUGCAUAAAAUUGUUCAUCUAUAUCAUAUUCCUCAUCGUCAUCAUUGCCAUGUAGCUGUACAAAUUUAAAAGGACAUGUAAGUGUCAAAUAACUAGUUUGUAUUCAAUAUGUUUUGGUCAACAUUGAAGGCACUUACAUUACCACUGUACGAUUCAUCCUGACUCAUAUAGUUGUCUCCGGAAGAUUGGUUCGCAUUCAAUGACGAGGAUCCAUUAUCGCUACCGGGAUCAUCACGGGCGUAUCCGGUUACUUGCUCCAUCUAUGCACAUACAAAUAAGGUGUGAGAUCAAUGCCAACAUUCCACAACAUCAUGGCGAAUACAGUAAAUUCGUCAAUAGUGACAUGACUAUGUGGCAUGCAUACAAAUUUGAACAUACAAAAUCAUUAUGAGGUCAUUAAGAGGUCACUACUCUCCUCUCUAAUUUAGCUAAGUAGGGAAUCAUUUUGCAUAAAAAUGCAAUGGACAAAUCAAAAAGAAAAAAAAAGAGCCAGAGAACCUACUGUGCGCCGUCGAGGGGUCCUCACCUGGGGUCGACGCCGAUGCACUGCUGCCACCCACGUCGUGGAGGGCGCGUACCAGGACAGAACGUUGACGCGGGAGCGCUGGGUGUUUCACCGGCGACACGGCGUGUGCGUGAAUACGGACGCCGUCGGUGCUCGCGACUAGACGGGCACGUCGGGGUCGACGUCGUGACGGCGGUGGACCACGGCGGCGUUGAUGCCGCUACGGUUUCCUAGGCGGGGAUGGGGUGUCGGUUUCACGCGACACCGAUGACACGGCGCGUGGGUGACUACGGACGCCGCCCGACGUCGUGACGGCGGUGGACCACGGCGCCGUCGAUGCCGCUAGGGUUUCGUACGCGGGGAUGGGGUGUCGGGGUGGGGCGUCGUUUUUUUUUCCUUUCCCGAUCGCACUACCGAACCGCACGGUAUGCGUACGACGCGGGCGUACGGGCCGGGACGUACACGGGCGGCCGGCGGCGGGUACACAAAUACAUAAUUUAGUNNNNNNNNNNNNNNNNNNNNNNNNNNNNNNNNNNNNNNNNNNNNNNNNNNNNNNNNNNNNNNNNNNNNNNNNNNNNNNNNNNNNNNNNNNNNNNNNNNNNNNNNNNNNNNNNNNNNNNNNNNNNNNNNNNNNNNNNNNNNNNNNNNNNNNNNNNNNNNNNNNNNNNNNNNNNNNNNNNNNNNNNNNNNNNNNNNNNNNNNNNNNNNNNNNNNNNNNNNNNNNNNNNNNNNNNNNNNNNNNNNNNNNNNNNNNNNNNNNNNNNNNNNNNNNNNNNNNNNNNNNNNNNNNNNNNNNNNNNNNNNNNNNNNNNNNNNNNNNNNNNNNNNUGUACCGAAGUAAUUGUGUUAUGCUACAUGAUCAUUGCCGUCCAAGUUAUAAGAUGGUCCCAACUAUUUUGGACCGUCCAAGUUUCCUUAUCCAAGGGUCUCGAUUGAAUGCGGUGACCUAUUACCUCUUAGGAGGUAACUAGCAAACAUGUCCGUGCGUAGCAACGGGAGAAUAGUCCGCACUCUCCUUCUAAAAGAACACAUUGCCCAAGGGUAAGAAUCAGGCUGCACAUGUGGUAGAAAUAAAAUCUGAGAAUUCUCAAGGGUAGACCUUUGUCGACCUGUCUUCUAGCGUAGCAUUCCGCCACACCAUCAGAUUGACUCAUAGCCUAGACGUUCCAAAUUAUUGAUUGGGUCCAGGCUAACGUGGAAAUUGUUAAUGAGGUCGCACCAUCAAAUUGCCUCUGAUGACCAAGUACUGUUAGUUUUGCUGUGAGCUUGCAUGAUAAUGGCUGAGAAGCGGGUCUUGACGAGUCUCCACGCAGGGAGUCCUGCUGUGAGCUUGCAUGAUAAUGGCAUUGUUUACAUCAUGACCAAGGUUGAGUUCUCAGAUCGCAAGGGGUGGGUGCUUGCCGUCAACACGAGCACCAAGGCUCUACAAGCGGUGGCUAAGUUUGACGCUGAAAGAUGCAUGGGUUUCAGUUUCACCUACGCUCAAAGUGGGAUCUCCAAACAUAUGGGUGUUGAGUUAGAAGAAGAUCACUGCCAGGAUGAUGCGGCCGCAUGGACUACUGUCUCAUACAAGAAAGGGAGGAAGAAAAGGAGGUGGUAACAGUAGUGGAAAGAGUAUCUAUUGUGAGUGCUUACAAAUGCAUGACGAGCAUCUAUUGUGGGUGAUGACAUUUACUUCCGCUGUUUGCUUGCUCAAUGUACGUGAAAAACUGUAUUCUGUAACUUGAAAUCGUAUAUGUGGGACACAUUGCGAUGAAUAAUAUAGUGUUAGUUCAACAAAGCAUUCUGCCUUUAGGACUAGGAACCCCAUGCAAAAGUAGCUUCUAGCUUAAGGCCUUGUCUCGAAUGCAAGAACUAAAAACAUGGAGGAAUUGAGAAGUCAUGUCCUGAAUUCCUAUAUGAAUCCAAAAGACUGUUUUUUGGACACCACACCAGGGCUUGCACCACACAGGAAAAACACAGUAAAUCUUUCUUUUUUGACACAAAAGAGAAGAAACUAUGAAGUGGCUGCUAGAGGCAUGUGCGGCUGCAUUAUAUUGAUAUACAUCAAUAAUAAGAGUCUUACAAAAUUACUAACGCUGCUAGAAGCAUGUGUGGCUCCAUUGUGUUGAAGGUUGGAGUAUGUCCUUUUCUGACUACUUUGAUUUAUACAUCUCAACCAUCCAAAGUACAGAGACAGUGAUGCGUGCAGUGAACCAAUUAUUGACAAGAAUGAACAAUAGACAUGAAUGCUAAGUUGGCUAAGCCUAUAUACAUGUAGGAUACUUUCCUGGUCACUUCUCUAGCACCGGCAUGAGCCACUGAAAUUCUGAGCAGUAUGACAGCCUAGGUUCGAGACACAAGAGCAAGAGGGUUUUGAUUGAAGUGAUCAUAGUAAUCUUAACACUAGCAUCACGAAAGGGAGUAUUUGGAAUGGGAAUGGGUGGUGUUGGAAAUAGGUGUUAAACCACAUCAAAGAAUAUGCCGAUCCAGGCUUCGCCGGCAAGCCGGCUGGUUGCAGGGGCAGUCUCUGUCAGCUUACGAGGUUGUGACUGAUUUGAAAUUGUGAAUACUGAAUUUGGACCUUCAAUGGUUGACAGAAGCACGCGUCUACUCCCACUUGCCUAAUUAUCCUACAUGAUCAUUGCCACGCCUUGUAGUUUUCAAUAAGCCCUUGAUGUGCUUCUAUGCACCCCCUUGAAAAGUCUGUUUUUGGUUUGGAAUUGUAAACUAAAUCCACAUAAUAUUGCAAUUCGCUCGAUCUAGACCUAAUUAACUCUAAAAAACAUCAUGCUUCAUAUUUUUCUCCAAAUUGUGUGAAUUAUAUUCUUAAAGGUUAAUUUGUAUUUGUUGAGAAGUGACUUGCAUGUGCAUGGUCACUAGUAUAAGCAACUAAAUUGUUUUUACAAAUUUCUUGAGUUUCUUCAAGGAAGAGACCCGCAGUCACAAGACCAAAAUCCGUCAGAUCCAACUAUCCCAACACAAGGACGAAAACACUCUGUACAGUAAGCGCGCUAUUUGUAUAGUGAGCCUCAAUCUUCAGAAUUGGGUUCUGGGUAGAGAAGAGAGCUUGUAAAUUGCCACGGCAAGAGAUUACGUGAACUUCCUUACAAAUAUUCAUUCAAUAUGAGCCACCCAUGGAUCACAGUGUCAUGGGUUCCUAGAUAAGAGCAGCAUAUCUAUUCAUCAUGAGUUCGUUAAUAUCUGUCCCUUCAAAAUUGGAGCGGGCUACAAGCAGAAAAUUAAUAAGUAAAUUAAUGGUUGCAAAAAAAAGUAGCUUCAAGGUGAAAGAAUAACAGUGAAACAAACAAUGUGAUUCAGUGAAACAAACAAACAAGGUGAAAAUGUGCCGAUCCAUUAGCUUCCCUUGGACAUUGCUUGAAACAAAUCUCUGGAAUUCCAUGGGCAAUAUGAAAACCAUCUGGAAGGGUUGCUGCAUCAGGGCUCAAAAUCUCUGUCACGCCAGUGCAUGCUUGAACCAGUUCAAAGCAGUCCAAUUCGACUACUGCUUCGUACAAGAAAAAGGGGCGGUCCUCCAGCAGAUGAUUGAUUUACUUUGAAAAAGAUAUAGCGGGUGAGUUGCUAUGUUUUUCCCUAUGAUAGGUGGACUUUCAAUAAACCUUUCUGAAUAUACUUAUGCUAAAGUUGACCUUGCGCUUACAGUUACGUUGAUUCAUGAUUGCACAAGAUCAUUGUGUCCUGAAGUUUUAUAAGUGAAGAGUUAUCCGAAGCAACAAAUGAAUCAAGCAGAAUCAACAAGCAAGGUUGCUUAGUACUUAAAUCCAUCAAGGAAGAAGGUCUACAUCAGAUUAUGAUUGUGUGUGUUCUGUGUCUCGAUAAGGUUUUUGAUAAUAUUCUUUAUGCACAGUCAGAUGUGUAUUUGUAUUAUGCUGAGACGUUGGUAAUAAAUAGCCCUUUGUCUUACAAAAUUUAUUAUUAGCGCUGCUAGAGGCGUGUAUGGCUCCAUUGUGUUGGGGGUUGGAAUAUGUCCUCUUCUGCGACUUUGAUUUAUACUACAUCUGAACCAUCCAAAGUAUGGAGCAGUGAUGUGUGCAACGAACCAAUUAUUGGCCAUGAGCAGUGAGCAGUGAGCAAUAUAUUUGAGUACUAGUAAAACCAGACAUGAACGCUAAGUUGGCUAGCCUUUAUAUAUGUAGGAUAUUCUCCUGGUCACUUCUCUAGCACUGUUAGCAGGCAUGAGCAACCAAAAUUCUAGAGCAGUAUGACAGUCUAGGUUUAGGACACAAGAGGAAGAGGGUUGGAUUGAAGUGAUCACCAUGGUGGCUAACAGUAAUCUUGGUACUAGCAUCACAAAAGGGGGUAUCUCGAAUGGGAAUGGGAGGUGCUGGGAAUAGGUCUCAAACGACAUCAAAUGUUAUGCCAAUCCAUGACUAGCUGGCAAGCCGACAUGUAGCAGGGGAACUAUCAUGAAUCUUGCCAGGUCGUAAUAUGAUAGGAUUGGCGCCAGGUUUACCUGGACCAAUCGUCAGGCUUCCCCGACCCAGUCCGUCCUGGACAGGGUUCUAGUUUCCCCGGAAUGGGACCUCCGCUGCCCUCUGGCUUCCCUCCGUGCCAUCACCCGGAUUGGCUCCGACCACAUGCCCCUCCUCCUGUCCUCCGCCNNNNNNNNNNNNNNNNNNNNNNNNNNNNNNNNNNNNNNNNNNNNNNNNNNNNNNNNNNNNNNNNNNNNNNNNNNNNNNNNNNNNNNNNNNNNNNNNNNNNNNNNNNNNNNNNNNNNNNNNNNNNNNNNNNNNNNNNNNNNNNNNNNNNNNNNNNNNNNNNNNNNNNNNNNNNNNNNNNNNNNNNNNNNNNNNNNNNNNNNNNNNNNNNNNNNNNNNNNNNNNNNNNNNNNNNNNNNNNNNNNNNNNNNNNNNNNNNNNNNNNNNNNNNNNNNNNNNNNNNNNNNNNNNNNNNNNNNNNNNNNNNNNNNNNNNNNNNNNNNNNNNNNNNNNNNNNNNNNNNNNNNNNNNUGAGACAUUCUGGUUGUCCCAAACCGGUUUUGUGGAGGCUGUUGGCGCCCGCUGGGUGGAGGCCCGCGCGCACCCCCAUCCCCGCCCUCCCUCGGCCAUUGACUCGUGGCAUUUCUGUGCCAAGCGUGGCCGGCAGUUCAUGAAGGGAUGGGGUGCCAACUUGGGGCGGGACCUCCGCGAUCGUAGAAGGCCUUGUUGACCGCCAUCCAGGCCCUAGACCUGCGUGCUGACGCAAUCAGCCUCUCUCCUGACGAGUGGCUCUCUCGCUACGACUUAGAAGACCAGCUCUCCGUCAUCUACACUGAUGAGGAGGCCUAUUGGCGUCUCCGCGGUGCCCAGAAAUGGGUUUUGAAGGGCGACGCGAACACGGCCUACUUUCAGGACAUCGCGAAUGGCCGCCGUAGACACAACACCAUCCCCCUUCUCUGGGAUGGCGCGUCCCUCCUGCAGGACCCCCGUGACACUCGGGCCCAUGUUGACGGAUUCUAUAGGUCCUUGUUCUCUGCCGCUCCUAGGAGCGGCCUCUCCCUGGCCCUUGAUUGCUGGACUGGCCCCCAGCUGGUCACUAACACGGAGAACGCGGCCCUUACGGCCCCCUUCUCCGAGGGCGAGGUCUGGGCUGCCAUUCGAGGCAUGAACCCCACCUCGGCUCCGGGUCCUGACGGCCUUCUGAUGAAAUUCUUCCAGACCUUCUGGAACGUGAUUAAACUGGAGAUCAUGGCCAUCUUCGACGAGUUCUAUGUUGGAUCCAUCGACCUCGGUCGCCUCAACUAUGGGAUCAUCUCGCUCAUCCCGAAGGUGCCAGGCGCCUCCGACAUCCACCAGUUUCGUCCAAUCACGGUCAUCAACGUGAUUUUCUGGAUUCUAGCAAAAGGGUAUGCCAAUAGGGUGACCCUUCUUGCGGACCACGUUACCCACCCAACCAGUCCGCCUUCAUUCAAGGGCGGUAUAUCUUGGAUGGGGUGCUUGUUCUUCAUGAAGUCCUCCAUGAGGUUCGAUCUAAACACCUCAAGGCGGUUUUCUUGAAGAUCAAUUUCCAUAAGGCCUAUGACACUGUUAGUUGGCCCUUCCUUCGGGAAGUUUUGCUCCGGAAAGGCUUUGACGACCGUUGGAUCACCAGAGUGAUGCAGAUGGUCUCUUGCGGUCGCACUGCCGUGAACAUCAAUGGAGAGAUCGGCCCUUACUUCCCCACCCUUUGUGGGGUUAGACAAGGCGAUCCCUUCUCCCCUUUCCUGUUCAAUAUGGUGGUGGACGCGCUUGCCGCCAUCCUGGAUAAGGCUAAGGCUGCUGGCCAUAUUCGUGGGAUCACCCCCCACCUGGCCGGCGGCUCCGGGAUCUCCCUCCUCCAGUAUGCUGACGACACCAUCAUCAUGGUCGAAGGCUCGGAGACGGACAUCUCCAAUCUUAAGUUCCUUCUCCUCUGCUUCCAACAAAUGUUUGGCCUUAAGAUAAACUUUGACAAGAGUGAUGUAAUGGUGAUGGGCUACUCUCCGGCCGAGUCCCUUGCUAUUGCCAACCGACUUAACUGUCGCCUGGGCUCCUUCCCCACGACCUACUUGGGAAUGCCCAUUAGUGACUCCCGGCUCACCGUCGCGGACUUGCGCCCGACCGUGGCCAAGCUUCAAAUGCGCAUUGAGCCAUGGCAGGGUAGAUGGUUGUCAAAGGCGGCUCGGACAAUUCUCAUUAACUCAUCCCUCUCCAGCCUCCUCUUGUUCCUCAUGAGCUUCUACAGCCUUCACGAAACUCUGCACCAUGAGAUCGCCAAAGUCCAGUCUCGUUUCUAUUGGGCAGGCGACAACAAUAAGAAGAAAUACCAUAUGGUCAGCUGGCCUGACAUUUGCAAGCCCAGGGAACAAGGAGGCCUCGGUAUCAUGUGCUCUAAGCGCAUGAAUAUAGCCCUCCUAUCCCGAUGGCUCUGGCGCAUCUCGCAAGGUCAUGGUGGUCUCUGGCUCGACAUCAUCCGGAACAAGUACCUGCGUGGACAGCCCCUGGCCUUCUGUCAGAGAUCUGGCGGCUCCCAGUUAUGGCAGUCGGUCGUCCAACUUCUCCCUAUCCUUCGCAUCGGGACCUCCAUCUCGGUGGGGUCCGGAGCGGCGACUUUGUUCUGGUUUGACCGGUGGGCUGGAGACACCCCCUUCGUUGUGCGCUUCCCCGACCUCUUCUCCAUCGCUGUCGUCCCCUUGAUCUCAGUUGAGAGGGCCCUUAUUGACUUAGGGCGCCUUGCUUUCCGGAGGCCUUCUGCCCCCCCCCGGAGUCCGCCGCAUGGCGUGAGUUACUGGAUUGCGUUGCCCUCCACAAGCCUGUGGUGGACGGUGGCCCGGAUCAGGUGAGAUGGCGGCUCGAGCCAUCGGGCCAAUUCUCCACCAAGUCUCUCUACCAGGCCAUCGCCCCCUCCUCUGCCCCUCCCUCCCUUACGACAGUGUGGUCCAUCUGCCUGCCUCUGAAACUCCUGAUCUUCAUGUGGCAAUGGAUUCGCGGCCGGAUCCCGUCUGGGGUCGAGGUUCGCAAGCGCAAUGGCCCGGGCACUGGCCUUUGCCCGCUUUGCGGUGUCCCCGAAGACUCGAAUCACAUCUUCUUCUCCUGCGUGUCCGCUCAAUUCGUGUGGAGCUGCUUCCGCGAAGUGGUGGGUGGAAAUUGGUGCCACACCAACUUCCCCGACCUGUGUGCCGAACUCCAGAACUCCCCCUUGGCUGCUCGCCACAUUAGGUGGCUUGAGAUUGGGGUCAUCGCUUGGACACUCUGGACGAUCCGCAAUAAGCUUGUGAUUCAGCGCACUCCUCUGCGACGGGCUACUGACGCUAUCUUCAAACUGUAUGGUUUCUUGCAGCUUUGGCGGCCGCUUAGCUGUCCUCAGGACCGCGACGCCAUCUCCGCCUUCAUCGCCGACCUCCACUCGAUGGCCGUCCGUCUAUCGCCGCCGCCUCCGCCGGAUCCUGACUAGGCGCUUGUCGUGUUCUCCGGCGCUUUUCUUUUCGUUUUGUUGGGCUUGUUGAGCUGUGCCCUCAGCAGAACCUUUGUACUUCUCUGUGAGACUUGGGUGUGUGUGUUUGAACUAGUCCUUGUAUGUGUGCUCUCUGGCGGUUUGCUUUAUUUAUAAAGCGGGGCAAAAGCCUUUUUCGGUAAUAUGAAGUUUGAGCUUUCAACGGCUGACACAAGCACACAUCUACUCCUGCUUGCCUAUUUUGGCUACUUGGUCGUUGGCAUGCCUUGCAGUUUUCAUUAAGCUAUUGAUGUGCUUCGGUACACCUUAAAAUUCUGUUUUGGUUUUGAAUUGUAAAUUGUAUCCCCAUAAUGUUGUAAUUUGACCUAUCCGCGCAAAAUUAACUUUAGGAAAUAGCAUGCCUUUAUAUUGUUCUCUUUGAAGGAUAAUUUAUACUUGUUGAGAAGUGUCUUGCAUGUGCAUGGUUACUAGUAGUAUACUGAUUUAUACUGUAUUUGUUUUUAGAAAAAAAUAGGGUAUCUUCUGUACUAAACAUGCGUUCCAAGUCUCUUCCCAAGGAUGCAGCAAUACCAGCUCACUCCGGCAUCAUCUGCUAUCUCUGACCACUCCCGCCUGGUUCUCAAGAAAAUGGAUGUCAAGAUUUUCAAAGGGUUCAGAUUUGAGGCAUACUGGUUAAAGAUGGCGGGCAUUGAUACAGUGGUCGCACAAAGUUGGAACAAGCCCCUAAGAUCUGCUGAACCGGUGAGGAGACUGCAUUCCAAGUUGGCUCGCACUGCCAGAGCCUUGAAAAAGUGGGAUAAAACGAUCAAAGCCUCUGCGAACCUGGCUUUCAAUGUGGCAAACGAGGUUAUUUUCAACUUGGACUUGGCAUUGGAAAGCCAAGAGCUUUCGGAGCCUGAAUGGGCGCUCCGUAGGUCUCUCAAGGCUAGGCUGUUGGGGAUCGCUGCCUUGGAGCGGAUUGCUUGGCGCCAACGCUCGAGAAUCUCCAAGAUCAAAGCAAGUGAUGCAAGCUCCAAAUUGUUCCACCUCCGAGCUAAUGGCCGCAGAAGAAAAAACCACAUCCCUGUUCUGACUGGCCAACAUGGAGAUGUAACGGAGCACAAGCUGAAGGAAGACAUUCUUCUGCAACAUUUCAAAUCCAUUCUGGGUUCGCCGGGGGCAAGGACGAGGGUAAUUAACUGGGAUUUGCUGCAACACCCCUCCAUGGACCUGCAACACUUAGACCUGCCAUUCUCGGUGGAGGAAAUUAAAAAGGCGGUUUUCAAUUUGCAUGAUGAAAAAGCUCCUGGACCUGAUGGAUUCAUUGGCAUUUUUUUCAAGAGAUUUUGGAAUCUUAUUAAGGAUGACUUGGUGGCUGCUGUCAACCAGCUGUUUUUCCUCAGAGGGGACAAUUGGAAGCUGCUCAACUCCGCACACAUUGUUUUGUUGCCAAAGAUUGAUUCGGCCAGAAGUGCUUCUCAUUUUAGGCCAGUGAGCUUGAUUCACAGUUUUGCAAAAAAAUUCUGCAAGUUGCUAGCAAAUCGGCUGGGACUGGAGCUUGAAAAACUGAUCUCAUGCUCUCAGAGCGCCUUCAUUCGUGGGAGAGCCAUUCAAGACAAUUUCCUCUAUGUUCAGAACACUAUCAAAUAUGCACACAAAAAGAAUAUCCCCCUCGUCUUCCUGAAGCUUGAUUUCGCAAAGGCGUUUGACUCAGUCCUUUGGCCAUACUUGAUUGAUGUCAUGAAGGCUUAUGGGUUUGGACAACGAUGGAGAGAUAUCAUUACUCAGCUGCUUGCCUCCUCCACUUCGCGCAUUCUGCUUAAUGGUUGCCCUGGGCCAGUGUUUGCUCACAAGAAGGGAUUGUGACAGGAUGAUCCCCUAUCUCCGAUGCUUUUUAUCCUGGCUAUGGACCCCCUGAUACGGAUGUUGGACGAUGCUACAAGGAGGGGCUUGCUCCUACCAAUUCCCGAGAAUGCUGUUAGGAUGAAAGCAAGUCUUUAUGCAGAUGAUGCUGCAAUUUUCACCUCUCCUGACCCUUGGCAAAUUAAGAUCAUUCUCAAGAUCCUUGAUGUCUUUGGUAGCAUUUCUAGCCUAUGUAUCAAUCCUACAAAGUGUGUCUUAUACCCAAUCCGCUGCCACCAAGAUGAGCUACAGGGCCUGCUUGAGGAUUUUGAGGGAUCGGUUGGCUCCUUCCUGUGCAAAUACUUAGGGUUACCCCUCUCCUUCAGGCGCCUCAGAAGGAUUGAUAUGCAGCCACUGCUUGACAAGAGUGCGGGCAAAUUGAGCAUUUGGAAAGGAAAGCUCAUGAACCGGACUGGUCGUCUUGACCUCAUCAACUCAGUCCUCACGGCUACGAUCACCUUCUUCCUUACCUCUUUUGCCCCCAAUGCCUGGUUCACUAAAAAAUUUGACAAGAUGAGGAGGAAUUUCAUUUGGGCUGCUGAUGAAGAGGCCCAUGGAGGGAAAUGCCUCGUUAACUGGAAGAGGAUUUGCGCUCCAACGAGUGUGGGGGGCCUUGGCAUCAAGGAUGUUCAGGCCUUUAGCAGAUCCCUUAGGCUUAGGUGGCCUUGGUAUGAGUGGGACGGCUCGUAUAGACCCUGGAAAGGAACACUUGUGCCCUGCGAGAAGGACGAUCUGAAUCUCUUCGCGUCCUGCACAUCGAUCUCUCUGGGAGAUGGCGCAACUGCAAAAUUCUGGACUCACAGAUGGCUCUCUGGAAGUGCACCAUGUGAACUGGCCCCUGAUCUAUUCCACAUGGCCAGAUCAAAGCAUCUUGCGGUGCGCGAGGCUCUAGCAAAUGGGGCUUGGAUGAGAGGGCUAAGGAACAUCAAUUCGCCUGACCAACUGGACUCUUUCAUUGAUCUAUGGUGGAGACUACAGAACACGGUCCUGUACCCGCGGCCGGACACAAUCUCUUGGAACCUCUCUGCCAAUGGAGAGUACUCAGCUAAGUCAGCCUACGUGGUUCAGUACCUCACUAGGAUCCCACAGCCGCAUCUUCAGAAGGUUUGGAGCAUUAAGGCCGAACGCAAGGUCAAAUUCUUUAUAUGGACCCUCCUCCAGAACAGGCUAUGGACUGCGGACAGGCUAUUGGCUAGAAACUGGGAUCACAAUGAUGCUUGCUCAGGAUGUGAUCAAACGCUGGAAUCUGCCAAGCACCUAAUCCUUGAUUGCCCCUUUGCUAAAGAGGUGUGGUUCAAGGCUCGUGAGGAUUCCCCUCUUGCUGCACAGGCUGCUUUGGGCGCGACUUCGAUUUUAUCUUGGUGGAACACAGUUCGGAGCCUAAAAAAGAGAGGAAGGGAUGCUGAUGAGUGCACUGCAGCAGUGUACAUUUCUUGGAAUCUGUGGUUGGAAAGGAACAGCCGGAUUUUCAAAGACAAGACAAACACGAGCGUCGCGCUUCUCUUGCUGGUGAAGGACGAGUUAGGCCUCCCAAUGGAGGCAUGGGAGNNNNNNNNNNNNNNNNNNNNNNNNNNNNNNNNNNNNNNNNNNNNNNNNNNNNNNNNNNNNNNNNNNNNNNNNNNNNNNNNNNNNNNNNNNNNNNNNNNNNNNNNNNNNNNNNNNNNNNNNNNNNNNNNNNNNNNNNNNNNNNNNNNNNNNNNNNNNNNNNNNNNNNNNNNNNNNNNNNNNNNNNNNNNNNNNNNNNNNNNNNNNNNNNNNNNNNNNNNNNNNNNNNNNNNNNNNNNNNNNNNNNNNNNNNNNNNNNNNNNNNNNNNNNNNNNNNNNNNNNNNNNNNNNNNNNNNNNNNNNNNNNNNNNNNNNNNNNNNNNNNNNGAUCGCAGCCAUGUACAGAUUUCCCCCUACUUUAAUGAAAAAGCAGAGCUCCUGCAGUUACGGUCAAAAAAAGUCUCUUCCCAAGAAAAAGACAGAACGUGUUCUGAAGGCAUCCACGUAAGUUCAGAUCAUAAAACGGAAGAGACUCCCGCAGUCACAAGACCAAAAUCCGUCAGACCCAACACCCAGUACAUCAAGCAUGCUAUUUGUAUCCCAAUACAAAGACCAAAACAUUCAGUACAUUAAGCACGGUAUUUGUACAGUAAGUCUUGAUCUCCAGACUUUGGUCUGAGUGGAGAAAAGAGACACAAGCAGAGAUUACAUCAACUUCUUUUCAAACAUUCUAGAAGGGGUUGUGGUCCUUCAUGAAACGCUCCAUGAAAUCCAUACGAAAAAACUAGACGGGGUUGUUUUCAAAGUGGAUUUCGAAAAGGCGUACGAUAAAGUCAAAUGGCCAUUUCUGCAACAGGCUUUGCGCAUGAAAGGUUUCGACCCGGCUUGGAGACACCAGGUUGAAUCUUUCACGCAAAAAGGGAGUGUUGGAAUCAAAGUGGAUGACGACAUAGGUCACUAUUUCCAGACACACAAGGGCCUGAGACAAGGAGAUCCGAUGUCACCUAUUAUGUUCAACAUUGUAGUCGACAUGUUGACCAUUCUAAUAGGAAGGGCAAAGGAGGCUGGUCAAGUCGGUAGCCUGGUACCUCAUCUAGUUGAUGGAGGGGUGUCUAUCCUACAGUACGCUGAUGAUACUACCAUCUUCAUGGAGCAUGACUUGGCAAAAGCGAGAAACAUGAAGCUGGUGUUAUGCUUAUUCGAACAAUUGACCGGCUUAAAGAUUAACUUUAACAAAAGCGAAUUGUUCUGCUUCGGAAGAGCCAAAGAGGAACAAGAGGUGUACAAGCAAUUGUUUGGGUGUGAACUGGGGGCUUUACCUUUCACGUAUUUGGGUAUAGCAAUUCACCAUCGUAAGCUAACAAAUAGAGAAUGGAAGUGUAUUGAGGAUCGAUUUGAAAAGAAACUGAGUUGCUGGAAGGGCAAGCUGAUGUCGUAUGGAGGCCGUCUAAUUCUCAUUAAUUUGGUACUCACGAGCAUGCCUAUGUUUCUCUUGUCGUUUUUCGAGAUACCAGUUGGAGUUCGGAAAAGACUGGAUUUCUAUCGAUCCCGCUUCUUCUGGCAGAGUGAUGACCUGAAAAGGAAGUAUAGACUCGCUAAAUGGGAUAUUAUUUGUCGACCGAAACACCAAGGGGGUCUAGGUAUCGAAAAUCUUGAGGUUAAAAACAGAUGUCUUCUCAGCAAGUGGCUGUAUAAGCUAUCUGUAGAAUCGGAGGCCACGUGGGCGCAGAUUCUGCGUAAUAAGUACCUUCAUUCGAAAAAUUUGUCACAGGUGAUAGUGAGGCCGACGGACUCGCCUUUUUGGAAAGGACUGAUGAGAGUUAAAUCAGUCUUCUUCAACAGAACAAAGUUUCUACUCGGAAACGGUACUUCUAUGAGAUUCUGGGAGGAUACAUGGCUAUGGGAAACACCCCUCGCGCUUCAAUAUCCCUCCCUUUAUAGCAUUGUGCAACGAAGAGACGCUUUCGUUGCAACCGUGCUUCAGUCCACUCCCCUCAAUAUCCACUUUAGGAGAACACUUGCCGGAGCCCGUUGGGAAGCAUAGCUUCAUUUGGUGAGAAGACUGAUGUAUGUGCAGCUUUCUCAACAGCCGGAUAUGUUGUGCUGAAAGCUAACCAGGAAUGGAGAGUUCACGGUUAAAUCUAUGUAUUUGGAUGUGAUCAACUCUAGCUCUAUUCCUAGUUCGAAACAUGUUUGGAAUGUCAAAGUACCUUUGAGAGUUAAAGUGUUCAUGUGGUUUGUACACAAACAAGUCAUUUUAACUAAGGACAAUUUGACAAAGCGCAACUGGACUGGUUCUACGAGAUGUAAUUUUUGUGAUCAGGAUGAGACCAUCAAACACCUCUUUCUUGACUGUCCGAUGGCGAAGAUUUUAUGGCGGACUGUUCACAUUGCUUUUAAUAUUACUCCUCCGAAUAAUAUCAACACGUUAUUUGGGACGUGGCUUGACGGGAUAGACUCCCAAACAGCGAGACACAUUCGUGUAGGAGUAUGUGCUUUACUUUGGGCAGUCUGGAACUGUAGGAAUGAUUUGGUUUUUAACAGAACAAUAAAUACUCAUUUUGUUGCAGGUUAUCUUCCGAGCCACUGCGUCGAUCCGUAUGUGGUCGCUGCUCACUCAGACGGAGGCCAGGGAGCGUUUGGUUACUGGAUCUACCCGAUGGGAGAUGGUAGCUCGGGCUAUAUUCAACCGGUUUGGAUGGCGGUCAUGUAAUAGGAUAGACAAUUAGUUUUCCUAUCUAUCUUUUGCCUGCCGGUUGUGGCUUUCCUAUUCACUCUUCAUGAGCCUUUUUGCGGUUCGUUUAUUUCAGACUUCAUGACAUUUGUUGAACCUAUUUGCUUUGUAAUAAAGGUGGUCGUAUGCAUCGUUCUGAUGCAGAGGCCGGGGUUAUACCCCUUUUGCAAAAAAAUCGAUAUGAGCCGCCCACAGAUCUCAGUGUCCUGGGUUGCAAGCUAAGGGCAUCUCCAACUGCAACCCACAAAUUUCAUACCACAUCCGUCCGCGGAUAAGAGGACUAGUCCGCGGACACGGAUGCGGGAGGACGCCAUCCAAAGCUAGCCGCAUACAUUUUCAUAACUCAAACUAACCGGACGAAAUUUGAUCAAAUCGAGCGAAUUUUGAUAUAAACAUGGCGGAUUUCAUUGAAAUUAGGAUAAUUUGUACACAAAACUGGACGAUAUUAAGUCCGGUGAACUAAAAACCUUAAAAUAAAACCCUAAAGUAGCCUAUACUUCAUGGUGACCUCGUAGGUCAUGUUGGGUUGGCUGGCGGCUCGUCCUCUGUCAUCCUUGCCCGAACCGGCGUCGGAGUCGGGCUUGGGGUGGCGGAAGGUGGUGGCAUUGCGGCAGGGCUUCUAGGCAGCCGUCUGACGCUUGUGGAUGAUCCUCUUUGCUUCCUCGUGCGUCGUGCGCAAUGCGGCCACGGCCACCGAGGACGCGGGCUGGGGAAAGGGUGACGCUCGUCGGAGGGGGUGUCGGUAUCGUUGAUGGACCAUUCCUCGCCGUACCUAGCCAUCUCCCCGUCGAGGCGGCGGAGACGACGCUUGGCCGUCUCCGACGUCGUCACCAAGCGGUCCAAGGGCCAGGAGUACGCCAGGUCCGGGUCCCCGCGAUGUGUGGCGGGGAGACAUCCGAGUCCACGAACUUGGACCGGUGCGCAGCGUUGCGGCUGUACCACCGGCGCUGCUCCUGAUCAACGCACUCUUGCACCGUCAUGGCGCUCCGGAAGGACGAAGAGCUGCCACCGCUCCCGCCGUUGCCGAGGUAGUGGAGAAGGCGACCGCGCGCCUUGGGCAGGUGCGACGGCGCGCGGCGCUCCUCCUUGACGACGCGCCGGGGCGAUGGCGAGAGCCGCUCCUCCUUGACGCGCCGAGGCGGCGGCGAGAGAUGCUCUUCCCUCAUGCAGCGUCCGAUUUGGACGCAGCGGCUGCGUGGCGGCGGAGAGUGUGGAGGGGAUGCCGACUUCACUGGGAGGAGAGCCUUGAGUGGCACAACCGGGCCGUUGAUGUGGACGACGGAGCGACGGAGCAUCAGCUCCAUCUUCUCCUCGAACUCUGCGUCGGUGGCGGCGUACACCUGGUCCGGCACCGCCUGCGAGAACUGCGAUGGCAACGGCUGCUGGUCCUCGUCGUCGCCGGAGGAGAUGACGAUCUCCUCCCACGUCGAGUCGCCGCCAGCCGAUGAGAACGAUGGUCCCAGAGUUCGAGGGCGGCGUCGCCACGAUCCGCUAGAUCCCGCCCCGGAACCGUGUGCCAGCGCCGACGUCCAGGACUUCCCCAUCGCCGGAGAUGUGGAGGGAGAUGUGCGGGGAGGGGAGGAGUAGGAGGAGGAGGAUGACGAAUUUCCGGUGGGCGAGGGCGGUCAGAAGAGGACUUGGGAUCAGUCCAUACUCCGGCAAUCCCCCCCCACCACCACCACACACACUUUUGUCUCCGGUCCGCGGGAGAAAUCGCGUCCAGUCCGUGCCGUCCCCAUUGGAUGGCUUCCUCGGUCCAGACAACGUGGUCCAUACGGAUGCGGACGGUUUGCGGGUCCGCCUUGAAGAUGCUCUAAGAGCAGCAAAACAAUUCAUCAUUAAUUUUUUUCCUCCAAUAUUGGAGCGGGCUACAAGCACAAAUUUCAGUAAUUUAAUGGUGGCAAAAGAAAGCAGCCUCGAGUCUGAAGAAUUAAAGGAAUUUUACUUUGAAAAAAGAGCUAGCAGGUAAUUUUACCGUGUUUAGCCCUAUGAUUUGUGGACUGUCAAUAAACCUUUCAGAAUACUUAGUAAAUUCUGAAGUUAACCCUACGCUGCACUGCGCAAGAGAGUAAAUGUCUUGCAGUUUUGUAAGUGAGGAGCUAUUGGAAGCAACAAAUGAAUCGAUUUGAAUCAAUAAGCAAGGUUGCUUAGUACUUAAAUCCAUAAAAGAAGGUCUACACCGAUUUCGAUUACCUCAGUUCCGGUGUCACAACAAGAUUUUUUAUAAUAUUUCUCUGAAUGGUCAGAUAUAUAUUUGUACUAAUGUUGAUAUGCAAAUAAAUAGCCAUUGUCUUGCAAAAAAAUACUAGCACUGUUACAAUUAUGUGUGGCUGCGACUUAGAUUUAUAGAUCUCAACCAUCCAAAGUACAGAGACGGUGAUGUGUGCGAUGAACCAAUUAUUGGCCAAGUGUGGAUUGAGCAAUGUAUUGACUUCCCUAGUAAAACCAGACAUGAAUGCCUAGUAAAGAAAAUGCCGAUCGAGGCCUAGCCGUUGAGCUGGCAGGUUGCACACGGGCACUCUCCAACAGCUUAUGGUAUCGUGACUAAUGUGAAUACGAAGUUUGAGCCUUCAACAGUUGACAUCUACCGCAAGACCGACGGCGGAUUGCGGUGGCAUUGCGCUGCCGUGUUUUGGGGCCGGGCGCGUGUGGAUGGAUACGUGCAGGAUGGUGGCGUUGUCUGGCGUCAUGUUGGCGUUGACGGCAGGUCUCGCAAGGUCGGUGCGUCAAUACCUGCUCUGGAGAUGAAUCAGUGGAUGACGGCGGCGGUGGCCUAUGAGAGUGCGCCGGACCGGUGUGUGACCCAGUCCCAGCAUUGUGGCUUGGCUGAGGCAUCCGGAUUUAGAUGUUAGGCUUUGGUGCAAUGUCUGUUUCGUAUUCGGCUCCGACAUUCGGCAUCCUGCAGCAGAACCAAGCUUGUCUCGCGCCCGGCAGCAAGACCGAGCUCGUCUUGCACCUUGCGGCAGGACUGAGCAUGUCUCGCGCCUGACGGCAGGACCGAGCUCAUAUCACACCCGGUGCCGCAGGACGGGUCGAUGGAGGCCAGUUUUGGCCGGCCGACUGGGUCUCGGCGAUGGGGGCUGUCUAGGGGUGCGAAAGGCAAGUCCUUUCUGCUCGUCUCUUUGGUUGGGGUAGCGGCAGGUCUCGGGUGAGGUGGUAUCAAGGUCUUGGAUACCGGGGCGUCGGCCCUGGUGGUGGUACUGCGGCGCGGCUUGGUGCUACCCGAUGGCCAUGGUCGUGUGGGCGGCGUGGGUGGCGGGAUGUGGCGUUCGGUGGCCCUGAGUGUUGGCGGGGGUGAAAAACCUGAUCUAUCUUCGGAUGGACCGGUGGUGGUGCAGCUCGUUCCCUUCUUGAAGGCGUCGUUGUGGCUCUCAUUUGCUCGUCGUGUUGCUCCAGGGGAAACCCUGACCCUCGAGUCGGGUGGUGGCGACGCUCUGGUGUCGUAACCUUCCUGAAGGUGCCGCCUUGAAGCCCACGGUUCGUCGUUUGCGGUCUCAUCUCUUCACGGUGUCGUGUUCACGGUGGAGGACCCCAGUUGUUCUUGUAGUGUUAGGGAUGGUGUUGCUGCGCUUAGCGCCUAUGUAUCCUGUCUUGGGUGUAUGCGUGUGUUGUGGUGGCGUGCGUUUGUAUCGGGUUGUGGAGGAUUUUUACUUUAUAUAUAAAGCGGAGCGAAAGCCUUUUUCGGUAAGUAAUAUCAUGCCCUAAUAUUGUUCUCUAAGUUGUGUGAAUUAUGUGCAAAUCUAAAAAUGGAAGAGACUCACACAGUCGCAUGACCAAAAUCUGUCAAAACCAAGUAUUCCAGCACAAAGACAAGCAUUCUCUAGACAGUAAGCCUUGAUCUUCAGACUUGGGUUCUGAGUGCAGAAGAGAGCUUUGUAAAUCAUCACAGCCAAAGACUACCUUUACUUCUUUUCAAAUAUUCAUUCGACACGAGCCGCCCACAGACCAGUGUCCUGGUUCCUAGCUAAGAGCAGCAAAUCAAUUCAUCGUUAAUUUUUACCCCUUCAAAACUAGAGUGGACCCAAAGCACAAUAUUCAGUAAAAUAAUGGUGCAGAAGAAAGCAGCCUCGAGAUCGAAGAAUAACAAUGAAAGAAAUGAUGUGAUUCAGUGACGCCAAUGUACACCAAGUAGCAUUGUUUGUUUCCAACCAAUUGUGAAACGAACCUACUAUAACUUGCAGCUUGAUACUUUGAUACGAGAUCAUGCAACAUCAUACUUUGCUACUUCGGUUCUAACAAAAUUCCAACAUUCAAGAAUAACAUAAAUUAUGAGACACGCAUCAAAAAGCAAAGAUCACUUUAACGGAAAAUGUUACUGUACUUUACCUAGCAAAUAACUAUUUGUACAAAUAAAGGAACAAAUUAUUCACUCCUGUACUGAUAUGAUGCACUCAGUAAAUAAAUAAGAUCAUUGCCAGGAUGAUGAUGCUUUGUGGAGUACUGUCUCAUACAAGAAAAGAAACAAGUGGUCCUCCAGCAGGUGAUUUACUUACUUUGAAAAUAAACAUGGGUUAUUUUGCUGUGUUUAGCCUGGCGUGUGAUAUAUGGAUUAUCAAUAAACCUUUUAGAAUACUUAGAAAUGCUAAAUUUGACCCUGUGAUGAUUGUUGAUUGCGCAAGACAGUGUCCAUAUUACAACAGUCCUGAAGUUUUGCAAGUGAGGAGCUAUCCAAAAUAACAAAUGGACCUAUUAGAAUCAGUAAGCAAGGCUGCUUAGUAGUUAAUAAAUCCAUAAAAAUAAAAAUGUAUAAAUCAUAUUUUAAUUGCGUGUAUUUUUAUCGGCACGGUUUAGGAUAAUUAAUAAAGAUGGCUGCAUGCAUCGAUUGAUGCAGAGGCCGGGGGUCUAACCUCCUUUUCUAAAAAAAUAUGUAUUUGUAUUAUAUCGAUACAUUGGUAACGAAUAACCCCUUGUCCUACAAAAUUUAUUUCUAGCACUGCUAGAGGCAUGUGUGGCUACAUUGUGUUGGAGCUUGGAGUAUGUACUUUUUCUAACAACUUUGAUUUAUACAUCUGAACCAUAAAAAGUACAAGCACUGUGAUGUGUGUAAGGAACUACUUGUUGGCCAGUGAGCAGUGAGCAAUAACUUUGAGUUCUCUAGUAAAACCGGACAAGAGUAUAUAUAUAUAUAUAUAUAUAUAUAUAUAUAUAUAUAUAUAUAUAUAUAUAUAUAUAUAUAUAUAUAUAUAUGGACACUGAAAUUCCAUAGCAUUAUGUCACCCUAGGUUUGAGACACAAGAGGAAGAGGGCUCAAUUGAAGUGAUCACCAUGGUGGUUACAUUAUUCUUCAUGCUAGCGUCACGAAAGGGAGUAUCUCGAAUGGGAAUAGAUGGUAUUGGGAAUAGGUGUAAAACUAUAUCAAUGUAUCUGCCGGUCUAGGUAAAGCCAGUGAGCCGGCAAGUUACAGGCCCCCUCUCGAUAUCAGGACUGAGUAGUGACCCUCGUGAAUAGAAAGUUUGAGCUUUCAACGGUUCACACAAGCAGACGUCUCCUCCGGAUCUCAGGGCCCCGUUCUGCUGCACGGCUGCUGCAACACCCUGUAGUAAGGCCAGACUCAGCUUCAACUUUACCGAUCUUAAAAUGGAAGAGACUCCCGCAAUCACAAGGAAAAAAUCCGAUCAGAUCCAAGUAGACCCGGGCUUGGACAGCCCGGCCCAAAAGCCCGACAUCCGGGCAAGGCUCAGGCUCAGCUUUCGCCCCAAAGCCCUGCCCAAAAGCCCGAAGAAAAGCCUGAACAGGGCAUAAAUCACUAUUUUAUUAGAAAUAUAGGUAAUAUAUCAUUUAAAUGUCCCGAAAUUCAUUAUUUUAAUUGAAUAGUGCACUGUCAUGUGUUUUGGGCCAGGCCGGUUCGGGCUUGGGCUUGGGAUUUUGAGGUCGGGCUUUGCAAAGCCCGACCUGAACCAGGCCCAACACGAAGGAUGCCCAGGUUUAGAUCCAAGUACCCCAGCACUAGAAAGACCCAAACACUAACUACAUUAAGCACACUAUUUGUAAAGUAAGCCUGAUCUUCAGGUCGACUUUGGUUCUGAGUGGAGAAGAGAGCCAUAGUCAGAGAGAGUCUCAGAGAUUACAUAAACUUCUUUUCAAAUAUUCAUUCGGUAUGAGCCGCCCACGGACCAUAGAGUCAUGAGUUCACAGCUAAGAGCAACAAAUUGAGUCAUCGUUAGUUCUUGCCGCUAAAAAAUAGGAGGGGGCUAGAAACACAAAUUCAAUAAAAUAAUGGUGGCAAAAGAAAGCAGCCUUUAGACAGAAGAAUAACAUAAACAAAAUAUGUGAUUCAGUGACACCAAUGUACACCAGGUAGCAUUGUUUUGUUUUCAAGCAAUUGGUAAGGAACCUCCGUGUCAUACUAUAACUUGCAGCUUCGGUACAUUGGUAUGAGAAACAUGAAACAUCAUGUUCUAACAAAUUUCAGCAUUCAAGAACGACAUAAAUGUGUGGUUGGUAUCAAAGAGUAAAUAUCGCCUUCAUGGACCAUGUUACUGUGCAUGACUUUACCUAGGAAAUUAUUAUGUGCCAAGAAAGGAACAGGUUAUGCAUUCUUGCACAGACUGAAGAAUAACAGUUAAACAAAAUNNNNNNNNNNNNNNNNNNNNNNNNNNNNNNNNNNNNNNNNNNNNNNNNNNNNNNNNNNNNNNNNNNNNNNNNNNNNNNNNNNNNNNNNNNNNNNNNNNNNNNNNNNNNNNNNNNNNNNNNNNNNNNNNNNNNNNNNNNNNNNNNNNNNNNNNNNNNNNNNNNNNNNNNNNNNNNNNNNNNNNNNNNNNNNNNNNNNNNNNNNNNNNNNNNNNNNNNNNNNNNNNNNNNNNNNNNNNNNNNNNNNNNNNNNNNNNNNNNNNNNNNNNNNNNNNNNNNNNNNNNNNNNNNNNNNNNNNNNNNNNNNAGGUAGCAUUGUUUUGUUUUCAAGCAAUUGGUAAGGAACCUCCGUGUCAUACUAUAACUUGCAGCUUCGGUACAUUGGUAUGAGAAACAUGAAACAUUAUGUUCUAACAAAUUUCAGCAUUCAAGAACGACAUAAAUGUGUGGUUGGUAUCAAAGAGUAAAUAUCGCCUUCAUGGACCAUGUUACUGUGCAUGACUUUACCUAGGAAAUUAUUAUGUGCCAAGAAAGGAACAGGUUAUGCAUUCUUGCACAGACUGGAGAAUAACAGUUAAACAAAAUAUGUGAAUCAAUGACACCAAUGUACACCAGGUAGCAUUGUUUUGUUUUCAAGCAAUUGGUAAGGAAUCUCAGAUCUAUUAUGAAACAUCAGGAACUAUAACUUGCAACUUUGGUACUUUGAGAAACAUGAAACAUCAUAAUGUUCUAACUUCUAACAAAUGUCAAGAUUCAUGGACGACAUAAAUGUGAGGCAAGUAUCAAAAAGUAAAGACCGCCUUCAUGGAACAUGUUUACUGUGCAUGACUUCACCUAGGAAUAGAUUAUGCAUUAUUGUACUCAUAUGUGCUGGGAUCCUCGUGCUAUUUAUCCACUAACAUGACACUACAGGUGCGUUGUGAUGCACCACCAUGCUCUAAACAGUAUCUGAUCCCCAUCACCUUGCCGUGAUCUGCUUGCAAUAUUGCAUGUUCCGAACUCAUGGUAUUGUCCCCACCAAUCAUGGAUGGCACUCGGCAUGCUCCUACCUUUGUUCAGCUAUAAAUUCUUUGUUCAGCGGCCUCCGGACAUCAUCACUUCACCCCACUACUCAGGAGGAAUUGUCACGGAAGAAAUUAUACACAAUCUGCAAAAAGAUGAGCAGGUUUCAUCCAGAGCAUCAGUGCAAAAUGAGAAGCAGGUUGCAUUAAACAAAACAAACCUCCACUAAAGUUGUGUUUUCCUCUGGAAGCAAGUCGAGGCUACAAAGUGCAUACUCUGUACAUUCGUAAUAAAUCCUAACACUACUAGAGGCAUGUGUGGCUCGAGUUUGGAGUAUGUCCUUUUUUGACGACUUUUAUUUAUACAUCUCAACCAUCCAAAGUACAUAGACGGUGAUAUGUGCAAUGGACCAAUUAUUGCCAACGAGCAGUGAGCAAUAUAGUAUUUGAGUUCUUCCAGUCAUGAACGCUAACUUGGCUAGCCUAUAUAUAUGUAGGAUACUUUCCGGGUCACUUCUCUAGCACUGUUAGCAGGCAUGAGCCACUCAAAUUCCAUAGCAGUAUGACAACCUAGGUUUGAGACACAAGUGGAAGAGGGUUCGAUUGAAGUGAUCACCAUGGUAGUUUAUCUUAAUGCUAGCACCACAAAAAGUGAGUAUCUGGAAUGCGAAUGGGUGGUGUUGGGAAUAGGUGUCAAACAACAUUAUAAGGAAUACCGAUCCAGGCCUAGCAGGCAAGCUUGCAGAUUGCAAAGGAACUCUCUGUGAACGUAUGAUGAAGUGACAAAUGUGAAUACGAAGCUUGAGCCUUCAGCGGUUAGCACAAGCCCACGACUCAUCCCGCUUGCCUAAUUCUGUUAUAGAGUCAUUGCCACGCAUUCUAAUUUUCAGUAGGCCCAUGAUAUGCUUCGGUACACCCCCUUAAAAAUUCUGUUUUGGUAUAGCACUAUAUAGUGAAUGCUCAUAAUGUUGUAAUUUUACAUAUCUACAUAUAAUUAACUUCAGAAAAUAGCAUGCCUUGAUAUUGUUCCCUGUGUAGUGUGAAUUAUGUUCUUAAAGGUUAAUUUAUAUUUAUUGUGAAGUGCCUUUGCAUGUGCAUGCAUGGUUACAAGUACUAGUACACUAAAAGCAACUACCUAAUUUUUAGAGUAUUCCAAGUUUCUUCUGUACUGAAUAUUAGUUCCCAGUCUCUUCCAAGAAAAAGAGAAAGUGAACAUGUUCAAAAGGCAUCCACAUAAGUGCAGAUCUAAAAAAUGAAAGAGACUCCUGCAGUCGCAAGACCAAAAUCUGUCACAUCCAAGUAUCCCAGCACAAAGACGAGCAUUCUCUGUACUGUAAGCCUUGAUCUUCAGACUUGGGUUCUGAGUGGAGAUUAGAGCUUGUAAAUCAUCACAGCAAAAGAUUACCUGAACUUCUUUUCAAAUAUUCAUUCGAUACGAGCCGCCCACACCCCACAGUCAGACCAGUGUCCUGGGUUCCUAGCUGAGAGCAGCAAAUCGGUUCAUCGUUAAAUUUUGCCCCUUCAAAAUUGUAGUGGGCCAUGAGCACAAAAUUCAGCAAAAUAAUGGUGGCAAAAGAAAACAGCCUUGAGAAUGAAGAAUAGCAGUGAAACAAAUGAUGUGAUUCAGUGAUGCCAAUGUAAACCAAGUAGCGUUGUUCUGUUUCCAACCAAUUGUUAACAAACAUACUAUAACUUGCAGCUUGAUACUUCGAUACGAGGUCAUGUAACAUCAUACUUUGAUACUUUGGUUCUAACAAAAUUCUAACAUUCAAGGAUAACAUAAAUUAUGAGACACGUAUCAAAGAGCAAAGAUCACUUGAACGGAACAUGUUACUGUACUUUACCUAGCAAAUAAUUAUUUGUAAAAAGGAAAAAAAAUUAUGCACUCAUGUACUGAUACGCUGCACUCGGAGCAGCGUAUUAUUUUUUCAAAUACCACAUUCAAAACCUUGUUUAUUACUAACUGAACAUAGCUAUAUAUACAGUAACUCAUUGACCAAACUACUGAAAUUGGGAUACAUAAUUGGGCGAACAUUAAACUGCUAAAUCCUCUCAUAUAAAUAUAUUCAGACAUAAUAUACUUGGAAGGCACAAAAGUACUCUUUCAUCAGAUCAUGCAUCAGUACAUUGUCUCACUAACUGUUCACAUAAGGUAACUAAUAGCAACUACUACGAUACAUUAUUAACCUCAUCGGUGACAGCCACUCUAUAAACUCAGCAGGCUUCCUGUAUAAAUGCCAAUGGAAUUGGGGUCUCUCAGUUUUAGCGAAUCGGGAUAAGUGUCAUGUCUUGGAUCAUAACUUAGCAGAAAUCCCUCUCCUGGCUCUCCAUUACAAAGGAUACCUUGUAGAUUACCCUCUGCACUGAAGAAGAUCUUCCCAUCAUCGAACAUCAGAAAAGGGUAACUAAAAGGCCUAGCAACACGUGAAGGCAUGCUGUAUUUCUUAACCCAGAUAACUUUCUCAAAAUCUGUCAGAAACCACAAGUCCAUAGAUAUGUUAUGAAUAUUGUGAACCAUAACCAAACAACCAUUCAACUCAGCCAAUGAUAACUGGAGUUCAAGUUUUGAGUAACUGCAAUCCUCGUUCUCUUGCACAAACAUCUGCACCUGUUCUGGACCACGUAGAACACCCCACUCUUCCGUCUCAAGGUUGAAACAAGCUAUGCUGCCAGGCUCAAUGGUUAUAACCCCAGUUUCAACGUAUGUGGAGUAAAAGUCCAUCAAGAAGUACACCAUCCCAUGGACGACCACCCAUCUCAUCUUGUGACCGCUACAGAUAUGGGACGGAGGGUCCUGUUUUCUCCUCCAGCUUCCAUUGUUCAUGUCAUCAAAGGUGAUAAUCUCACAUACCUGCCGGUCACCAAUUCUAGAGACACGUAGUGCCUUGUACUCUCUGGUAGAGGAGACCUGCCCAAUUGCACACGACUGGAUUUGGCAGUGCCAUUUGUUCAUUCCCUUCACCUCUAGCUCAUGCACCAAUUCCUCUGAAAAAUCAAUCGGCAAGGUGAUGGUAGCUCCACUGGCCGGGUUCAGCACCCAGAAAACCUGAGAGAACAAAACCCAGUUGAAACAGACGAGGUCUAGCCGCGUGCGUGCAACACGGAUGAUAUCGCCCUUGCUUGUGAGCCGGCGAACGGCAUCACCCGACUCGUUGACCAAAACAAUCUCAUAGCCGUUGCUUGGAAACCUCUUCACGAUGUUGCCCGACAGAUCCGAAAUAGCAACGCUGUUGACCUCACCGUCGUCGCGGUAGGCAAUGGCGAGGAGCGGGGGCGCCGUGUGGUGGCGGCACAUGUGCGCCGCGAUGAAGAAUGGGUCGGAGGUGAGGGCGCGCCAGGAGGGGCAGACGGCGCGGAGGCGGCAGAGGUCCUUGGCCGGGAUGCGGAGGAGGACCUCGUACAGAGCGUCCGCGGGCAGGUCGCCGGAGCUGGAGGCGGCGGGGCGCGGCUUCGAGGACGACAUCGCUGCGGUAAGUAGAUCCCAUGAGCAAGCGAGGGAACAAAAUCGACGAUGGGUUCAGAUGGGGUUGUGUGCCGAGUAGACGAAGCAAUUGGUCUUACCGAGAGAGGUGGCGGCGAGCAGUCGAUCACUGAAGACGAGAUGUUGGAGGGGAAAACGGCCGGCGGUGAAUCGAUGGCCGUCGCACUGAUCUAGGGUUUGGUUUAGGCCUUUGGGACAGCAAGGGCUCGAAUGCGAAGUGUCCCGAACUUCCGAAUUUCCCAAUUUCGGCUAAAUCAAAAGGGAAACACUUUAACAGUCACCUAAUGGAAGUCAUUCGUCAAACCAGCCGCAUGCCAUCGAUUCGCUUAAAUCUCACGGUCAAGGGUGCUUUCCUCAUUUGACGAGUUUCCAAAAUAGCUCAUUCGAUUUUGUCGUAGCAUCCUCUCCAAUAAGGCGAUAACACCUCCCGCAUUAACCCCACGCCCCCACCAGCCUCAAACUCACCCCAUCGCUCGUCCUCAUCUCCAUCGCCUACUCUCGUUCCACCGAUCUCGCCAAUCCCCUCGCCGCCCUCACCUCUUCACCAUGAACGAGCCCUGGUGUGCCGUCCCAACCGGUGGCUCCCACCGAUAUUAGCACGACGCCCAUGUCCUAUAAGCUCGCGACCCCAUAGCCGUCCCGGUCAUCCCCUUUAGCUUCGAUCCCUGAUGAGUGAUGCGCUAUCAGUCCAUUAACUCAAUCUGAUUGCACGCUUUAGGCCAAGAACUCGAGAACCGAUCAAUUUAGACCAUAAACUCGUUUAUUUGAUCAAAUAAGCCAAAACCAAUUUGAGAGGGGAAAACACGGGCAUGUGACUGCCAUGUCAGCACACCUUAGACCCCUAGCGCUUUGGUUAAUUUGUAGUGGGUGUUUUUUUGCAAACUGGCCAUUACAAUAAAGUGGCUGAAGAAAAAAUAAGAUCCUGGUUCAUGGUACUCGAACUCGUACUAUUAGGAAAGAGGAUUGCCUAGAAGACCACUAAAUACAAUUACUGGUUGAAGAAAUGGGAAGCAGCUGCACUAUAUAUUUACAACAAGAUGUUUGGCGUUAACGGUAGCAUGCAAAAUCUGCUCAUUGACCGAUCGCUUUCCUUUUUUUCACGAGUAGUAUUGUACGACAAACAAAGGAAAAUGUAGCUACGAGCAGCCGCAACAGUUUUUGUUAUUCAGUUGCACAUAGCCUCUCACUAACCAAGUAACCAUCUAUUUAAAUUAAGCAUAUUGCUUGUGAUCUGACAGAAAGUAGCUUGUACCAUGGUCAUUGCCUUAUAUGAUCUCUGAAUAACUUCCCACGGUUCCGCUGCUUGGUCUAGAGAGCAGACUCUACCAAAAAAAAACUCUACAUACAAAGGUAUAAUGUCACGUCGUUCUAACACUCCCUCCAUUUCAUAAUUUAGUGCGUCCUUAAGAUUCAACUUUGAGCAUAAAUUAGACCAACAAUACAUAAAUCGUUUUACUGAAAAAUUGUACUUUUAAAAACUUCUUUCGAAUACGAAUUCAAAGGUAUUUGUUAUUUCCCGCAAAAAAAAAGGUAUCUGUUAUGCUACCGGCGCAGUCGCCCAUGUUGGUUAAAUUUGUGAUAAAGUUAAAUCUCAAAAAUCUACAUUAUAGAAUGGAGGGGGUAUAUAGUUUGUGCUGCAUAAAGUUAGCAAACUGAUUGAUAUCUGUCGCAUGUGUCUCCAAGUAAAAUUAUCGAUAUAUGUCAAACAACUAUUCCAAAUGAGUUGAAAUUUUCCCAGAUCGGUACUAGGUACAUUUGUGUUUUAAUGGCAUUUUUUUUCUGAAAAUAUUAGUUUUGAACCAAAUUUUGAAUGAACUAAAACUGCCGACACCUCUCAAAACCAUUUGUCGAAAUGAGCUGAGAUUUGAAAGGAAUCAUAAUUUGGCUACAAUGUUCAGAACACUAGCACCCCAGAUGGUAGAUAUAGUUGGCACCAAGUUUUAGCAUUGAAGUAGUUGCCGUAUGGUCAUUACACGCAUCAUCGAGCCUCGCACGCCAUCGACUUUAGCAUCCCUCCGUGUAAAGUUGGUGGUUCGUGCAAAAUUGCCAAGUUGCAACACUGCCAAUGGUAGAUGUCUUGUGCAACAAACCUGUAUAGUAGACGGUCUGUGCAAAAUUGACCUCAAUAGUUGACAGUUCGUCAAGAGAACGCACGCAUGCAGCGCUUAGAUCGUUUUUCUCUCCCCGGUGGCUGGAACCCUAGCCGCCGCCUGGAGAGGCCAUCUUUCAGCGCCGUCCUCCAGUGGCUCCCCUUCGCCGGCGACCUCGGUCGUCGGUGGUGAGGGGGGUCGCCGGAUCCACGCGUAUGGAUUGUUUUUUUACUCUUGUAGUCUAGGUUUUUAGGCUGUUCAUCGUCUUGACUUCGACGGCGACGAUGACGGCGCUGAAUAAAGAUUCUUCGAAUCCUUCCCUGACGAGGCCAUCGGUCCUAUGGUUGGGGAUGGAUUUGGAAACCAGUCUGUUCAAGUAAGGAUGGCGUGGCGACGGCGGCAUCCUCGUGGUGGACCUGUGUCCUCGGGCUCUGCCGUUGUGACGGCGUUUGCUCCAGCGUCGACGUGGAGCUUAGGAGGUAGUCCAGGAGCGGAUGCAGAUUGUGGUCUGCAUCGACGACAUCUGGAAGACGGAACGUGUGCUGGGUUCGUGGUUCGUGGAUGGCAGGUAUGGUUUCCUCCUUCGACGUCUUAGUCGUGGUGGGGUGUCAGAUCUGGAGUUUGAUGGCGUGUCCGGGGUGUUGCCCCGGUUUGAUUCGUUCAACGGCAAUGGCUUCACUUUUGAUGAGCCACCUUGGAGGUCCGCAAAUCUGCAUAUCAGCGAUGGAGCCGCGUCGAGCUCCGGUGAGGAGGUGAUCCGUCAUUCUUUUCUUCGGUGGCUGUUGUGGUGGUGCCGGAGGCAUGUGACGGGCGUUGGUGUCAAGCUUAGAGAUGUUCUGCUAUCUUUUCAGUUUUAUCAUGUCGGUUCUUACAUGACUUGUACUUUGUUCUUUACGAUAUGAAUGAGACACGUAUUACCAUGAAAAAAAGGUUGACGGUUCAUCGAACAACGCGCCCUGUCGACGUUUCGGCUGAGCCAUCAAACCAGUAUUCAUCUGCAUCAACUCAGGUGGGGUGUCUUUUUUUUUUUGAGAGAGAGAGAUAGAGAGGGAGGGGGGAAUCAGUAUUCGGUUUCAGUCCUGACAUUCUUGGUUUUGGCUUCUCAUUUGGAACAAGCACAAAAAAAGUGCAUUUGAACUUGCCAGGAUAUCUCCGCCUCACUUUGGCUGGAUCUCCCUACAACCUGAGGGCCCAGUGCAGUGAGCUAAACCAUGUAAGAAAGUGAGAGUUCCGGUGAAUUUUAGCUGAACACAUGGCACGCUUCCCUUGCCGUGCGUACAAAGUACAAACAGAAACAAACACAGUAUUCCCUCCAUAAAGAAAUAUAAGAGCGUUUAGAUCACUACUUAAGAGCAAAGUAGUGAUCUAAACGCUCUUAUAUUUUUUUACAGAGGGAGUACCUCGCAAGCAAGGUCAACAAAGACGGAACACCAUUCUAAUGGAAGCAAUACAUAUUAUGUACAGAAUUAUUCAGGAGUUUUUUAGCCACAUCCAAAUAGCGUGUGGCAGACAUGCAUGGCGUAGCAAAUUUAGCAAAUGCACAAGUUAUACAGCAAGCAUUCUGUUGCGGCUUCGCAUCUUCGCUGCUGAUACCACAACGACGAUGGAGCCUAGCCGACUACUAGGUAUUAAAGUUUCUUUCUAGCGAUACACCGAAACCAAGAUCGACUCCAGGAGGG